AUUAUACCGCGAAACUGCGAAUGGCUCAUUAAAUCAGUUAUCGUUUAUUUGAUAGUACCUUACUACAUGGAUAACCGUGGUAAUUCUAGAGCUAAUACAUGCUAAAAAUCCCGACUUCGGAAGGGAUGUAUUUAUUAGAUUAAAAACCAAUGCCCCUCGGGGCUCUCUGGUGAUUCAUAAUAACUUCUCGAAUCGCACGGCCUUGCGCCGGCGAUGGUUCAUUCAAAUUUCUGCCCUAUCAACUUUCGACGGCUGGGUCUUGGCCAGCCGUGGUGACAACGGGUAACGGGGAAUUAGGGUUUGAUUCCGGAGAAGGAGCCUGAGAAACGGCUACUACAUCCAAGGAAGGCAGCAGGCGCGCAAAUUACCCAAUCCCGACUCGGGGAGGUAGUGACAAUAAAUACUGAUACAGGGCUCUUUUGGGUCUUGUAAUUGGAAUGAGUACAAUUUAAAUCCCUUAACGAGGAACAAUUGGAGGGCAAGUCUGGUGCCAGCAGCCGCGGUAAUUCCAGCUCCAAUAGCGUAUAUUAAAGUUGUUGAGGUUAAAAAGCUCGUAGUUGAACCUUGGGCCCGGCCGGCCGGUCUCCCUCACCGGAUGCCACUGGCUCGGCUGGGCCUUUCCUUCUGGAGAACCCCAUGCCCUUCACUGGGUGUGGCGGGGAACCAGGACUUUUACUCUGAACAAAUUAGAUCGCUUAAAGAAGGCCUAUGCUCGAAUAUAUUAGCAUGGAAUAAUAGAAUAGGACGUGUGGUUCUAUUUUGUUGGUUUCUAGGACCGCCGUAAUGAUUAAUAGGGACAGUCGGGGGCAUCAGUAUUCAAUUGUCAGAGGUGAAAUUCUUGGAUUUAUUGAAGACUAACUACUGCGAAAGCAUUUGCCAAGGAUGUUUUCAUUAAUCAGGAACGAAAGUUAGGGGAUCGAAGACGAUCAGAUACCGUCGUAGUCUUAACCAUAAACUAUGCCGAUUAGGGAUCGGACGGUGUUAUUUUUUGACCCGUUCGGCACCUUACGAUAAAUCAAAAUGUUUGG
rnacentral:rRNA from 1 species